UACAGAGGUCUCAAGCGUUGUUCGGAUUCAUUGGGCGUAAAAGGGUGCGUAGGUGGCGCUGUAAGUCGGGUGUGAAAUUUCGGAGCUUAACUCCGAAACUGCAUUCGAUACUGCGGUGCUUGAGGACUGGAGAGGAGACUGGAAUUCAUGGUGUAGCAGUGAAAAUGCGUAGAGAUCAUGAGGAAGACCAGUGGCGAAGGCGGGUCUCUGGACAGUUCCUGACACUGAGGCACGAAGGCCAGGGGAGCAAACGGG
rnacentral:rRNA from 1 species